CAAAAAUAAAUUCUACUUGUUUGAAUAUAGUUAUUAUAAACACUAUAUUCUUUUUAAUGAACUUUGAAGUUAUCUUAUAUUAAAAAAAAAAACAAAGUAAGAUAUCUAUAUUCUAUAGUGCAAAAGGCAGAUGAAACCUUACAAGAUUUUUGCUACAAUUGUAUUGUUUAAUUGAAAAAUUGACUAGAAAAUAAAAAAUAAAAAAAAAGACUAAAGAAUGCAAAAUUGAAGACCUAAGUGUAAAAUACAAGUUAAGUAAGAUAUUUUUGCUGCAAAUAAGUCAUUUUUGUUUCAGUUUUUUAAUUCACUAGUUCAAAUGAGCAUAUUUUAACUUCAUCCACCAUAAUCCACAUGAUAUAUUUAAUACUGAAUUUUUUUAAUAAUUUUAUAUUUUUUUAGUUUAAAUUAAUUCCUCAAGUUGUUAUUGUGGUAAAUUCGUCUUUGAUACCUCUUAUUACUUUAACCAAUGGGACUUGGUGUAAUUGUUUUAUAGUAAGUUUCAAGUGUUACUAAAAAAAAAGUUUAUAUUUUUUUGGAUCAUGUGUUUAUCCAAUUAUUAUCUGUUUGAACCCUGUGUUUUGACAAAUUACUUUUUGGACUCUGUGUUUUGUAAAAUAGUUCAAAUAGACUUCUAAACCCAAUUUUGAUGAAGAAAAAAUUGAAUAUGACAAGACAAUUAUUAGACUGAAUGAUUGUGUUUUUGUUCUGAAUUGUUUAUUUGGUAAAUUAUUUGUGAUUUUAGUUCAAAAACUUUGACUAAAAUAGGAUUUAAGAAUCUAUUUGAAUUAUUUUACAGAGUCUAAAAAGUAAUUUUUCAAAACACAGAGUCUAAAAAUAUAUAAACAAAAAAAUUACUCAUUCAGUUAUAAAAAAAAACAUAGAUUUUAUUUUUGGUCAAAACAAAAAAUUACUUGUGACGCCACUGGAGGGGCUAGCUCAACUGGUUGUGUGUAUGAGUGUAUAUUGGAGGGGUGAGUGGAUCAAAUCCCUAUUGUAUAAAAAAAUUACUUGAAAAAAAAUAUUUAAAUAUAAUUUUUCACCAACAUACUCUUAGUUAGGGGUGCAGACGGGUCAGAUUUUCGGCUUUCGGUGCAUCAGAUUCGAGUUAUGCGAGUUUCGGGUGGAGGAAAGUCGUACCGAAUCUAAUAUGAAUUUUUCGGGUUUCAUUCGAAUUCGGAUUUCGGGUUUGGUCGGGUUUUGGGCUGGGCUGGGCCGAAUUUGGGAUUUGGGCCUAGGUACAAAUUUUUCAAAAAUACUAUUUUUUGACACUUUUUUUUACUUUUCACAUGAUUUUUUUUUUAAAGUUUGUUGUUAGUUUGGUUCUAUUGAUUUUUUUUACGAAUUGUGCAUUGGUAGUUUUUUUGAAAAAAAAAAUAAUCAUGAAACAUAAGUUUAUAGAAAAUUAGAAAUUAGAAAAUAAAGGUGAUUUUAAUGCAUUUAAAAAAACAACCUAUAAAAGUAAUAUACUAAAACACUUAAGUUAAGCAUAAAGUCCAAUCCCUUACCACAUAUUAUCUAUUAUCUAAUGUCCAAAGUCCAAAUUAAAAACAUAAACAAAGAUAAAGUCCAUAACUAGUUAACUGCAACCAUAAUAAAGUCUAUAACUCUACAACCAUAAACAUAAAGUCCAUGAAAAUCCAAAAUACAAUGAAAGAUAUUAGUAGUAAGUAUGACCACUCCUUCCUUCCUUUCAAAAUUCAAAUGUUCAAAUAAAAAAAUUAUUAAAGAAAAUAAAUCAAAGAUAAUAAAUAACAACACACUAAGUAAACUAAGGCACGAAUAAAUUAUUACAAGCAAUCUAUAAUUUCCGAUUCCGCUCCAAUCUGUAAAUCCAUAAAAAUAAAUAAUUGUCAAUUUCUCAAUAACUUUUAGGCAUAUUUCCAACACAAUUAAAAUCUAACUCUAAAAAAUAAAACCAAUACACAAACAAACAACAAUAGACAGAUUUUAACUCUCAAGAAAUGAAAAAACAUACAUACAUAAUACAUAAACCAACAACAAUAGCCAUAUUUUAUUUUUUACCAAUUUUUUUUUCUUAUUUUCCUACACUAAUAACUAUUCUGAUUUCUAAUUUAUAUAACCUAUAUUAUAUAUUAUUAACAAUUAAAAAAUAUAUAUACAUAAUUACAUAUAAUUAUUAAGUAUUACUUAACUUAUUAUUUAUUAAACUAUACAUUUAUCUAAUAUAUAUAUGUAUAUUUUUAACUAUACAUUUAUCUAAUAUAUCUACAUAUAUACAUAUGUUGACUGUAUUUUUUGCUACCAACUUAAUCUGAGAGAAAUGAAGGAUAAAGAAGGGAAGACACAAGGUUUUACGUGGUUCAGGUUAUAAAAGAACCCUAGUCCACGAGUCUCUAUUAUUUAGCGAGCUUGAAGCUUGAGAUGGCAAGCUCUAAUGGUGAAUCUAAGGCAGCGUAUAUAUUGCACUGAGUACAAAGUUUCUCUUUCUAAAACAUCCAAGCCCUUUCAAGGAGAUACCCUAGCCCUAUUUAUAGGGUUGGGAUCAUUAUUGCCAAUCAUCCCUCAUAAAUAAUAGGGUAUUAAUGUUAAGUUAAUACACAAAGGGUCGUGCUACAAUAAAGACUAUGGCCUACACGGAUUCUACGGGGCCAUUGCAUAAACUUACGCACCAACUUUAUGGGGAACAUAUAUGUGACUGUCAGGGUGCAGCGCACGUUUGCUAAUGAUAGGCGGCGUUGUGGGAAAUGUUGAUUGUCGAGUGUAAAAAAUCAACACCACUAAUCGAGGAUCACCAAAAGUUGUCAUAUGAUCCUUUCAAGGCUCACACCUGUGGAUAUCCAUGCUUCGGAGACUGACCUACAGCGCGGUCUCACUGGAAGACACCUUCGUCGGAGGGAAGACCUCGGGACAUAGCCUCAUAUGGAGAUAUCCUCGAUUCGACCGAGAUGGACCAUGCCAAAGAGCUCACAUCACGAGGACUCCAUGGCCGGUGACUAACUACUCCCUAUUACCACGUGAUAGAUGAUCAAAACACAGACAACAUUCUCCCCCCAAGUCUUCACUCAUCCUCGGACAGUGGAGACUUUGAUUGAGGAGUAAUUCGAAAGGGUCUUCGGGAGGUGACGCUUGGGCUUCUUCUGACUUUUCUCAAAAGUUCGCGCCAUGCAUUGACUCUCCAUUGUUGGGCCCAUCAAUCCGUGCAAUUAAUGAGAAGUCCAUUACACUACUCAAAAUGUCUAUUCCGUACCAUAGGUGUCUUUUUGCCCCAUACCCAAGACGUUGUUUCCCAAGGCCAAUGAGCAUGAUCUGUGCCUUUUAGUAUCUGACAAUUGGAUUACUCUUGAGUGCCCACGUCGUGGGCAAUCCAACGGUCGAGGUAUAGGUGCUUCCUCUCCAAGUUCUGAGUAUAAAACUCAACAACCGCCUCUUAGCAAACACAUUUACCAUUUAAAAUCUGAAAACCCCACAUUCUCUCUUCUUAAUCUUCCCAGUCCUUCAAUCAUUCUGGAGCUUCUUCUGCAAGUCUGGACAACUGGCGAGAGUUUUCGCACUUCUAGGUGAACGACAAGCAGUUCUUCAGAGUCAGAACUUGUUUCAGCACAUACUGUCACUACUUCUCGAGUAAGUAUUUGCUGGCUUCAUGUUUUUGUUAGGUUUACUUAGGGAAUUUAGGUGCAUGCUUAGGAAUGGGUUUUUUUUUUUUUUUUUUGUGGUAGUUUGAGGGAAAUUUUUGACCAUUUACAAGUCUUUUCAGGCACAUUUUUGCGUUAGGAGUGGCCAAAAUGGCCUAUUGCCUACCUUGGGAAAUUUUCGCCUUUCUGAACACUCGACCGGAAUCUGGAAAAUCCCCUGAUUUCGCCAGUGUUCAUAAGUUAUGGUGGUGUUCUCUGGUGAUGAUUUUUCGGCCCCGAGGACAUCUCGAGCCUUUAGAAAUUCUUUCUUCUCCUCCCCAAGCAGCAGUCUUAUGGAUUCUCGCUUGGACCGAUCUUUCUUUGGAACAGGGUGCUAACUGCUUGGUUUGUUGUCUCAGAUGUCCAAGGACCUUCACUAAUUACAUAAACAAGGAUUUUACGCCUUUGCUGUCGAGAUCCUCCAAAUGGCCCAAGAAGCGGGGCAACACCCUGUGAAGGGGAAGAAAGUGACUAGCAGCAGUCAAGCCCUCGUGGUACGAGAGGGCUCUGACCCGGUAGCGACAAUUUCUCUUCGAGUUGGCCUCUUUGAGGAAGAUGCUAAUGCAGGCCCGACACCGUCGAACAACACCUACCCUGCCAUAGGGUUUGAGGCAGAGGACAUCCAGAGCAAGCUAUGGCAUCGAGGUGCCUUGGAGAAGAUUCUCGACCAUUAUGGGGUGGAUUCCCGUGAGAUGCUAGUGCACCUAUCCCGGGAAGAUGAGAAGGCGCACGAGAGCAUUCAUGGGCUUAGGCCCUGGUGUUCCUCCCAUCUCUAGGCUAGUGCAACCUUGCCACUGCACCAUUACUAUGUUGACUUCCUCAAGUUCGUCGACAUAGCUCCAUUCCAGUUGUCUCCGAAUGGAUAUCGGGUACUGGUGGGACUUUACAUUUUGUACAAGAGGAAAAACUUGCCCACCUCGACCCCCACCGAAAUAUUGUACGUCUACAGCUUUCGAAAGUGCUCAAAGAAAGGGGAAAAAGGUGGGUACUACACCCUGAUGAAGCAUAUGACUCCAGGGAGAGGCUACAAGCUCCGAGCGGCAACAAGAACCACACUCAGAACUACAAGGACCAAUUCUUCUGGGUGGAUGGGUUCCCGACGAGGACCAAUCCUACCCUACUCCUAGACUUUACCACAGUUGGUAAGCACCUUUGUCCUCGCGUAAUUUCGUCUGAUAGUAUUCGACUCAUAACUGAUCCUUGAUUUUAAAACAUCUCUUAUCAGAACCUUAUCGUCGCACCCCUUUCGUUGAGUCCUUUGAUGAAAGGUUUCAAAUGAUGAACACUAUUCGUGACGAGGAGUUAGAUUUCCCCUUUCUUGUCACUGAGGCCCAUCUCCGACAGUAUAGGCUAUUUCAGGUGGGGUAGGGCAUAAGCCCGGUGGUCCUUAACAAAUUAUGGGACUCGAGGUAGUCUCAACAGGUGGUGAGGCUACACACGGGAUAUAUGGAGGCCAAGGCACAAUUUCAAUAUAUGCAGUGCCUUCGUGAGGAGCACGCAGAGAGCAUUCUCGCCAUCAAAGCCGCCGUGGAGGCAAAGGAAGAUGAAGGCCUUGAGGCGAAGCUCAAGGAAUGUAUUGAAUCAUCUUUCAUGCCUCAAGGUAAAUCUCCAAUCAUCCUUCAUUAUGAUAAGCAUGUAGGGGAGGGAACUAGUCCAGACGAUUCAUCAUUUCCUCCCUCGCUUCUUUAGUGCGGCCAAGUCUUAGGGUGUCGCUGGUUCAAGGAGGAGUAUCAAGACUACCAGGACCUCAUUGAUGUGUUCCUCUAUAAUCUGAGGAGGAAGAUACAUCCCCAAGGUUUCGUGCCUCUUAGCGAGAUGAUGACCAUGCAUACCACGUGGUUUUUCUAGUACGAGAUUAAUCUGAUGCAGGAAAUGGGCUGACUCAUCCGCGAAUUCGCCCAUUUUGUCCUCCACUGUGAGGAGCCUGAUUAUGAAAGCAUGGGCAUGCCCGACUUGGUUUGGUCGAAGCAUCAGAGGGUGUCAAGAUUCUCUGAGAUAGAUUCAUGACGGCAUCAGCUGCAGUGCCCUUACCCCCGAUCACUGCAACUCCAGCCCCAUUUGCCCAAGCAUUCUCAGCGGCUCCUCCACCGGUCCUCAAUCCGAGCACGUCGGCUCCUGGUGAGGUCAUUGACCUUGAGGCUUCCUCCCCUAAGAUGGAGGAUUCUUUGGGAAGGGUAAGGAAAUCCCUUCUGAUGUGUCUGGCUCCUGUCUAGUUAAGGCACCUCAGUUGAUAGUCUUCCCAGAAUUCUAUGACAGGGAGGACUUAGAGGAGCUCAAACGGGUCACAGAGUACUACAACGCCCGCAUCGAGGAGAGCAACACGGACUUAAAACUACUUUCUAAGUUUCUACGCGAAGGUUGGCCAAAUAAUUCUGUUAUCCCUCCUUACCUCAUAGGGGAAAAUAGGAGAUAGGGUUGUUCCGCUCAGUGUAGAAGUUCUGCAAAGGUUAAUGGGGUCCCUAUGCGAGAUGCCUUCUAGCAUCUUCGCCCGUUGUGGUAGAGACAACAAGGUUGUGGUGAUAACCACCAGUUGCGUUCCUCCUUGAGAGUAAGUCUCUUAAUUUCUACCUCAUUUUAGUGUUUUAUUUCUCCAUUACUUUGCUGAUUUUGAUAUUCUAAUCUGACAAACUGCGGCCCUCAACCAACGGCUUGGGGACAUCAUGCUGAUGCGGUCCUUUGAGCUAAAGGUGGCUUCAGAGGAGCUGGCCUGGGCUCAGGAAGAACUGGCUCAGCUUCGGGAGACUGCAGUCCCCUUGGAGGAACAUUCUUGGCUCUAUAAAAAAGUGGAAAACACAAGGGCCCAUGUCAGCGAGGCGGAGGACCUACUAGCCACCAAGCGGUCGAAGCUAACCUCUUUAGAGGAAAAUUCCUCUAAGAUGCUGGAAGAUGAUGCAGGCCGCACCUAGGCCAUGGAAGAAGAGCUGAACAAAGCCCACAAAGAGCUCCAGUUGAGUCAGGCAAAGUCUCUAGCCCGUGCUGAGGAGCAGGAGAAAACCAGGAAAGUUGUUGAAGACCAUCGUCGUCGAGUCGAAGAACUGGAGAAGGACCUCGAUUUGAUGGCUGGCGAUACACUCUUUGUUCCAUGGCAGAGCAACAUAGACAUUGAUCUCUCAUUCAUCGAGGACCCCGACAUGAAGUCAAAGCUCGAGGCGCAUCUUGAAACAGAAGAGGCCAUGGCAGCCCAGGAGAAGGAGGCAUUGGCAACGAGUCACAUUCUUGAAGCCGACCUUGUGAUCGAGAUGGUGGUGGAGGUCCCGUCAGACCUAGGGCCUCAGUAAUUUUGGUCUGUAUAAUUUUUUAGCUGAGUAGGCAUGCGUGCCAUAAUUUUUUGGGGUAUAGACAAUCAACGAUCGAGCCCCCGAGCACUAUUGUGAUUAUUUUCCAUUUAAACUUAUGCAACCUUCACUACUUUACUGCCAUGAUUGCAUUAUUAUUGCUGAAUUUAACCUUUAACAAAUAUGCAACAUGGAUUUGGCUACAAUAGUCGUGAGAGUCCCAAGACACUGAAUCGGGUCUUGCGCUCUAGUCUUGAAGACUUGAGAUUUUAUCGACUUCUCUUAGUACUUAGGCAAUUUGUAUGUGUUUAGUGUUGCUCUAUAGGCUCGCAUUCCUUGAGAGUAACUUUAACGCAAGGUCAAGUGAUUCCUCGACGUGACCCUACGUCCCUGAGUUCCAACGACUCAGGAGGGGGCCCACCUAUGGUACUUGCGCAUGUAGUGUUUCAUCUUAGGCUUGAGGUCACAAGAGUAACUUUUACGUGGUGUCAAGUGAAGGUGCUCACUCGACUAUCCUACACCCCUGAGUUCCAACCACUCAGGCUUUAGGAGGUCUUGUACUGUAGGGUUCUUAGUGCUCGUCACUUACGACAUUUAGUUUUGGACUCCAUGCUCAAUGUCCUUGGAAGUAACUUUAAUGUCAUCUCGUGCCCCCGAGUGCCAAUGACUCGGGGCUUUAGGGGGUCAUUCACAUUAAGUUAUUUUCCCCCGGGGACAUGAUCACUGGUGGGCUAGCUUAGGAUUUUUUAUUUGCCCCUCGAUUACACAGCUCGGGGCCUAGUCGUUUGGAAGUUGUGACUCAUUAUCCCAAGCCUAGGAGGCUGAGCUCAUGCCCUUUGUCUAGGUCUAUCGUGGCUUGAUCUUAAGUGCUCGAGGUCUGGCCCCAAGUUCCAACGACCCAAACCUUUGUUCGCAUCUCGACAUCAUAAGAUGGAGUUGUUACUCCUCAGGCACAGUGUUCUUGGGAGGUAACCUCAGUCCGUAUUCGUAGAGCAUUCUGCUCAAGUCUUAAGGCGAAUUCUACUAGUGCCCGAGUACCAAUGACUCGGGCUGUCCUCGGGAGGAUAUGCCAAAUCCAAUCUUGCGUUAUUCGAAUCUUUCGGCACCGUGUUUCAGUCCGGCCAUUUAGCUAUGGGAUCCCAUGACACUAAAGGUGCUUCACUCAUCAACUAGCCAAGCUCCCCAUGUCAUGGACUUCCCAAUGCUAUAAUGUUCGAGGCAUAUGGAGGACUUGGGCAUAACUCCUCAGGCGCAAUGUCCACAGGAGGCGUCCCAAGUCUACCCCGAGACCAAGUACAGAGUACUAGGUCUUCUGUUCGCAUCUCGAGAUUAAAGGACUUGAUCAGAGCUCCUUGGGUGCAAUGUCCAUGGGAGGUGAUGCAGGUCCGUUCUUGCGAUACUAAUAUUCUUUGUCCAGAUUCUAGACGCUAAACCUUACUCUACUUGGAACAAGCUUUGUCUCUUAGGCCAGACUCGACUAGUUUCCUAGGUUUUUCCAUUCUUGGGGUGGUGACACUAGGCUUACCCUGCUGGACAAGCUUAGUUUCCUUGGUUGUUCCACUCGAGGAGUGAAGCUACCCCAACUCCAUGCCCCCAAGUGAUUGGAGACUAAUCUGCGUUCAGUUAUCCAGGCCAGUGAGAGGGUGUUUUACGCGUAGCACAUACAUAAUAAAGGAAAUUAAGAAAUAUAAGUAGAAACACAAACAAAUUUUUUCUUUCCCGUGUUUUAUCUACACUGUUUCCAAUAAAUGUGCCCGAAUGCUACAAGGGAGAUUAUAAAAAAAUCAACAUGCUUCACUGCUCAUAUUACUAGUAAUACCAGAGAAGAUGCUCAACAUUCCAGGCAUGGGGUAUCAACUCCCCAUUUAGUCUGGCCAAUUUGUAUGUCCUCGGACAUACAAUGCUCUCGACUUGGUAUGGACCUUCCUAGUUAGAACCCAAGACUCUUGCACUGGGAUCUUGGGUGACUAAGAAGACUCUUCGCAACACCAAAUAUCUGACCCCAAACUUUCUAUCCUUCACUUUAGAGUUGAAAUACAUGGCUACCUUCUGCUGGUAGAACACUACCUGAAGCUGAGAAGUUUCACGGAGCUCUUCCACGAGUCUAGGGAUUCUCGCAGUAAACUAGGGUUUGUGAUCGGGUCAUAUGUAUCUCGUCGGUGCGUGGAGAUUGUUCUUUCAACUGGGAGCAUGACUUCAUACCCAUAGGCCAUUGAGAAUGGCGAGUGUCCGAUGGAGGUCCAGGCAGUGGUGUGGUAGCUCCAAAAUGCCCUAAGUAGCUCCUCGGGCCAAGCGUCUUUCACCUGCUCAAGCCUUUUCUUUAAGGUGGCUUUGAGUGUCUUGUUGAUUGCUUCCACCUGCCCAUUUUUCUGUGGGUGGGCGAUGGAAGAGAAGCUUUUCAUGACUCCUUGUCUUUGGCAGAAGUCUGUGAACACCUCGCUGUCGAAGUAUAGACCAUUGUUGGAGACUAUCUUCCUUGGAAGCCCAUAGCGACAAAUGAUGUUCUUAAUGACGAAAUCUAGAGCCUUCUUGGAAGUGAUAGUAGCAAGUGGCUUGGCCUCGACCCACUUUGUGAAGUAUUUGAUCGCCACUAUCGCAUACUUUACUCCUUUUCCCAUGGGCAGUGACCCGAUAAGGUCAAUGCCCCAGACCGCGAAGGGCCAAGGACUCGUCAUCUGAGUGAGUUCAUUCGAAGGAGCUCGAGGUAUGGUUACAAAAUGUUGGCACUUAUCACAUUUCUUGACAUAAUCCAUCGCAGCUCUGCCUCAAGAUUUUAUUGGCAAGGCUUUGCCCCCUGACGUGGUCCCUGCAAAAGCCCUCAUGCACUUCCCGGAGUAUCAUGCUGGCUUCUUUCUUGGACACGCACCGUAAUAGAGGCAAGGAAUAUCCUCGCCUGUACAACUUACCGUCCAUGAUAAUGUACCAAGGUGUCUGGUAGAGUAGCUUACGAGCUACUUUUUGGUCAUGUGGAAACUCCCCUAAGACUAGAUAUUUGAUUAUGGGUUCCAUCCACCCAUCCUAGGGUUGGAUUAUCUCCACUCCCUCAGGUUCUGAGAUGCUUGGAGAAGAUAAGUAAUAGAUGGGGACUACAUUGAUUAGCUUAGCAUCCUUGGUGGUUGCCAACUUGGCCAAGGCGUCAGCGUUCGAGUUCUGCUCCCUCGAUACUUGUCGAAUUCUGAAUUUUCUGAAGACCUGUAGCAUCUCUUGGGCCUUUUCUAGGUAAGCGGCCAUUUUUGUUCCUCUGGCCUGGUACUCCCCGAGAAUUUGAUUAACUACUAGUUGUGAGUCACUGAAAACCUUGAGGCCCUCGGCCUUAAGCUCGAGCGCAACUCGAAGCCCAGUAAUUAGCGCCUCAUACUUUGCUUCAUUGUCAGAGGCGUUGAACCAUAAUCUUAGGGCACUGUGGACCCUGUGCCCUUUGAGGGACACUAAAAUGAGACAUGCCCCGAUCCCAUUUUCAUUCAACGACCCAUCGACAUACGUGGGAUGUGCCUGGAAGUAAGGCCUUAGCUUCCAAGAAGCCACCAUCAGGCAUAAGGUCAAGUUUUCCAUGAGCAGGUACCUGGACUCAACUUCGAGGAGCCUCUUGUUCACAUAAUACACGAGAUUUUGGACACGACCUUCCUCGCAGACUAAGGCAGCGCUCAUGGCAUUCUCAAAAACUGCCAUGUAGAUUAAUAAGAGUUCCUUGUCCAUGGGUUUUGAUAGGAUCUGAGGGUUUUCCAUAUGAGCCUUUAGUUACUGGAAUGCUUGCUUACAUUCCUCCGUCCAUUCAAACCUCUAUCUUCCUCGGAGGAUGUUGAAGAAAGGGAUGCACUUGUUCGUCACCUUGGAAACAAAGCGGCUCAGUGCAGCGAUCCUUCCAGUGAGGCUCUGGACAUCCUUAUGCCUUCGUAGGCAUGACAUGUUGAUCAAGGCCUUAAUAUUUUUGGGGUUUGCCUCUAUUCCUCGAGCACUGACGAUGAAGCCCAAGAACUUUCCCAAGGCAACUCCAAAAGUGCACUUCUGAGGAUUUAGCUUCAUCUCAAACUUGGGAAGCACUGAGAACACCUUCGCGAGGUCCCUCAUGUGGUAUAAGGUUGUUCAAGACUUCACCAGCAUGUCGUCCAUAUACAUCUCCAUAUUCCGCCCCAACUGCUCUUUGAACAUGCAGUUUACGAGCCUUUGGUAGGUGGCCCCAGCAUUCUUUAGCCCAAAGGGCAUCACCUUAUAGCAAUAAACUCCCUUGUCUGUUCGGAAGCUGGUGUGCUCUUGAUCUGCGACAUGCAUAGAAAUUUGGUUAUACCCCGAGUAUGCAUCCAUGAAGGACAAAAGCUCAUAACCGGAGGUGGCAUCGACAAUCAGAUCGAUAUUCGGCAAUGGGAAACAGUCCUUAGGACAGACCUUAUUUAGGUCUGAGAAGUAUAUGCAGGUCCUCCAGGUGCCAUUUGACUUAGGCACGAGGACAGGAUUGGAUACCCACUUGGAAUACUGUGCGCUUCGGAUGAAAUCGUUCGCAAAAAGCUUGUCCAUCUCCGCCUUUAGGGCUUCCGCUCUAGUCUAGUCGAACUUCCUUCGCUUCUGUUGGACUAGAGUGACGUUUGGAUCGACAUUCAACGCAUGACAAAUGAUGUUUGGGUCAAUGCCUGUCAUGUCAGAAUGAGACCAGGCGAAGACAUCCUGGUUUUCUCAGAGGAAGGCUAGGAGCGAGUUUCAGAUUCUCUCAUCCAGAUUCUUCCCAAUCUUGGUUCUCCUACCAGAAAUGGUCGCGUCAAGAGCCAAUUCCUCAACUUCUUCCAAUUGCUCAACCGCCCUCUUCUCUUGAACUUGCAGGUCCAACCCAUCUGCCCCUUCGGCCAGUGAUGCUAUCAUAUCCACAUUCUCAGGAAGAGACUGCUCGUGGUCCCUUGUCUCAACUACCAUUACUGGUUGUCGGAGGGAGAUGUUAUAGCAUUGCCUCGCUGCCUUCUGGUCUCCUCAGACUGUAAAAAUUCCUGACUAUGUGUGGAAUUUCAAGCACAGAUGCCGAAUUGAGGUGACGACUCUGAAUUCCACCAGGGCCAGACGUCCUAAAAUGGCAUUAUACGCUGAGGGACAGUCCACCACCCCGAAAGUGCAAUACUUGAAGGCCUGGCGAAGCUCUUCCCCCAGUGUCACGGGUAACUUAAUUUGGCCCAUUGGUAUGAGACCCUCUCCCAAGAAUCUGUAAAGAGUUGAGGAGCAUGGGGACAGGUCACUUAUGGUCACACCAAUCUUCUCAAAGGCGAACUUAAACAAGAGAUUCACCGAACUCCCAUUCUCCACCAGGAUCCUAGCCACCAUCUUAUUGUACACCUGGCUCUCAAUCACUAGAGAAUCAUGGUGCGGGAAGUGAACUCUCUGAGCAUCGUCCUUGGAAAAUGUGAUGACUUUUUCAGUCAUUUGCGACAUCUUGGAUGGUAUUUGAGUCAAGGCUAGCACCUCAUCAUCAUGGUUUAAGGCCUGCGCAUAUCUGUUCGGUGAGCUUCUAAAAGUGCCCCCCCCCCCCCCCCCCGGGUGGGGUCCUCUCGAAAUGGUCCCCACUUUGUCGUUUACCAGAGGGGGCCUAUUUGUUAUCGGUUGCAGCCGAGCUAUGAGCACCGGCCUCAGAGAUAUAGGAGUGGCAGGUUGCGCACGUAUUCAUGCUGCUGGGGGCGGUGGCUGGCAAGGCCCACUCCGAGCGUACUGGUGGAGGUAUCCCAACUUGGUGAGGUUCUCGAUCUCAUCAUUGAGUUGGCGAAACUCGUUGGUUUGGUGCCCUAUAUCAUUAUGAAAAUGACAAAACUUGUCGGGAUAUUCUCACAGGAGUCUAUCAAGUCAGUGUACUCAGAGUACUGCAAGACAUACUUCUCACUAGAGGCAGCUCCCUCUUUAGUCUGUGAAAUUCCAUUUCCCUUGGGCUUUCAGCCCUUUCCCUUACCCCCACAUAUAUUAUUGCUAGGGGUCCAACUUGGUGCGGCUAAUUGGGAUGGAGCGAAAACUUCAACACUGAAUGCAGGCUAAAAAGCACUAUACCCAGUGGGAGUCGCCCGUAUCCCGUCAGAGUCGUACUGAAACCAGCGGUCGACAUGGCAAUAAAGCCACUUGGUGGGACACUCAGACUGGAAUGGACUCCCCCCAAACUUGGUUCGACAAGAGCAUAAGGCGGAUAAUGGAUCCUCAAAGUGAUGGGGCUAGGUGUUGCCAGAGCGGGAAAGGCAACGGGCCCUCCGAAUGCUCUGAUCUAGGCAUCCUCCCAGCUGAUGUAUUCUUGUGCUCAAUGAAUGAAGUUGUUGAGCUGUCAACAUCCUCUCCACUAUAGGUCAUCCCACAACGGGGACCCCGAGCGAAUGCCGUCCUGCAAGGCCAUCAGUUGUUGGCCAUUGUCAACCCUCUUGGUCCUCAUAGCUUCUUCUUUGAAGCGUUUAAUAUAUGCCUUGAAGGUCUCAAAAGGCCUUUGCUUUAUGUUGGCCAAUGCAUUGGCCUCGAAGCUCACCUUUCAUGCUGCUAAAAAUUAUCUUCGGAAGGAAGCCGACAGUUGGUGCCAUUAUUGAAUGGAAAUUGGUUGGUGUUUCUUGAACCACUCUUCUGUUAGUCCCGUUAGAGUUAUCGAGAACACAUGACACUUAGCGUCCUCGGAGAUGCGGUGCAACGACAACAGUCUAUUGAACUUUGAGAGGUGGUCGGUUCGUCAUAAGACGAGAUGGCUAGCAUUUUGAAGCCCUACGGCAAAUGGGCUUCCACUAUAUGAGGUGUGCAUGACUCCCCAUCUUUUUCCUCUGAGUCAAAGUCGUGGCCUUGUCGUCAGGCCAUCUUGAGCAUGAUCCUCUUCAGGCUCUCCAAUUUCGCAUGAAGCGGGUCACAGUCUUGGUUUACGCUCUAUGUUAGGUUAUCUCUCCUUCAAUCGUUGAGAUUGUCUCUGAGGUUUAAUGAACCAUUCUUGGCAUGCUCACGCCCGUGGGUCUUAUUGCACCUACGAGCAUUAAGGUUUUCCCGCAGAUUAGCUUGGCCUUGAAAUGCACCAUUGUCCUUGGGAUGAGCCACCUUCAUUUCCCCAUCAAACUCAACAUUCUCAUUGUUCACAGAGAUGUUGGGGUCGUGCUUUCUGCUGACAAGGAAAUUUUGCACGCUGCCCCUUCGACCAUUGUUCUUGUGGGGAUGGAUAGGUGCCUGGGGGACGCCACUUUUGGGCAUCAUGUGAUCUGUAUUGGUGCGCCUGGGGAAAAUGCCCUAGGCUCCAUGUGCACUAGUGGCCUAGCGACAUCGUCAGGCUCCUGGGCCUUCACCUAUGCUAGCUGGCCUCGGGACCUGGUUAUCGAUGGGGUUCUGGCGUGCCUUCUUUGGCUUCAGAGCAGGGUUAUCUUCAACCUUACCCUUUCGAUGCUCCUAUGGCGUAGGUGGGGUUCCAACUCAAGCUGGGUGCACGGGAGGCACACCGGCUGGCAGAUCUCGCGCCAACCCAGUUGAGUGCUCAAGAGGCACACAGGCUGGAGCGACAUGUGGCAUUCCAGUUGGUGGCAUAGGAGGCACACCAGCUGGCUACCCAGAUGGUACUGCACCAUGGGGGUCCACUAGCAGCCCUUGGGCCACCAGAGUAGCCCUCAUGGUGUUAACCAUCUCCUACAGGGCGACAAUAUUACCCUCUUGGGUGUCGAUCUUCUACUAUUGGGUGGCCACCUGGCCACGGAGCGCCGCCAUUUUUGGUGUCUUCUCUGCAUCCAUGGGAUGAGGGUAUUCCUCCUCAUAGUAUCCAUCAUCGCCCCUGUCAUCCAUGUUGUCGUUCAUGCCGUCGUACUCGACAUUUUCGUUAUAGUCCUCCACCGCGUCUGGGUGGUCUAGCGGCGCCAAGUGACUGGUUUCUCCUCCCUCAACUACAACGUGAGGGGCAGUAUUGUCUAGAGCAUUCCUUUGAGUGGUAACCAUGACUAUUUUCCAAGCUUCCUUCAAGCUCUCAAUGAAAGCACCAAAAUGUUGACUGCCUUUUUCACUGCCAACUUAAUUUGAGAGAAAUGAAGGAUAAACAAGGGAAGAACAAGGUUUUAAUUGGUUCAGGUUAUAAAAGAACCCUAGUCCACGAGUCUUCAUUAUAUUUAGCGAGCUUGAAGUUUGAGAUGGCAAGCUUCAAUGGUGGUUCUCAGGUAGCACAUAUAUUGCACUAAGUAUAGAGUUUCUCUCUCUAAAACAUCCAACUGCUUUCAAGGAGAUACCCCAGCUCUAUUUGUAGGAGCUGGGGUCAUUAAUGCUAAUCAUCCCUCAUAAAUAAUAGGGUAUUAAUAUUAAAUUAAUACACAAAGGGUCGUGCUACAAUAAUGACUAUGGCCCACGUGGAUUUUGCGGGGCCCAUUGCAUAAAGUUACGCACCAACUUUAUAGGGAACAUAUGUGUGACUGUCAGGGUGCGGCGCAUGUUUGCCCAUGGGUUAUGAAAUGGGCCCCGCAGAAUCCACAUGGGAAAUGCCAGGCGGCGUUGUGGGAAAUGCUGAUUGCCGAGUGUACGAACUCGACAUCACUAAUCGGAUCAACAAAAGUUGUCAGAUGAUCCUUUCGAGGCCCACACCUAUGCAUAUCCAUGCUUCAGAGACUAGCCUAAAGCGUGGUCUCAUUGGAAGACACCCUCAUCAAAGGGAAGACCUCGGGAUAGCCUCAUCUAGAUAAAUCCUCGAUUUCGCUGGACUGGACCACGCUAAAGAGCUUGCAUCCCGAGGACUCCAUGGCUCGUCACUAACUACUCAAAAUUUCCACGUGUCGGAUGAUCAAAACAUUGACAACAAUAUAUUUUAUACAACCUACACUAAUCGUGAGCGUGAGGGAGGAGUCGGGUCGUUGGGAUCUAUGGCUGUCGGCAGCUGUGGGUGGAUGUGGCCUGCGUCGACGUGGAAGAGCUAGGCAGAGCUGCGACGGAGGUCUGGGCAUGUGGUGCUGCAGCGGAGGUCUGGGCGGAGCUGCGGACUGCGGAGGUCGUGUGGUGCUGGGCAGAGGGCCGUGUGGUGGCCUAGUCGGUGGGUCUGUGGCGAAGGGAGGCACACGGGUAGAGUAGCCAAAGAGAGAGAAGAGAAAGGGUCGCGGGGUACUCUAUUUUUUAAGGUUUUGUUUUUAGUUUUAGUCUAUGUGAUUAAAAAUAAUAAAAAAAAAAAA